UAGCUCUUCACUCACAGCUUCUUUACAUGCCAGCACUUUGCGGUCUCCUUUUGUUGGGAGUUUGAAUGGGUUUCAUGUAUCGAGUGUUGCUGUUCGCCGUGUUGGUUUUGUGAGUAAGACGGUCGAAUGUAAAGAAUCAAGAAUCGGGAAGCAACCAAUAUCAGUACCUUCAAAUGUGACACUCACAAUGGAAGGCCAAGAUUUGAAAGUUAAGGGACCUCUGGGGGAGAUGGCCAUAACUUAUCCACGAGAAGUAAAGCUUGAGAAGGAAGAUGGAGGUAUUCUAAGGGUCAGAAAAGCCAUGGAGACAAGACGCGCUAAUCAGAUGCAUGGUUUAUUCAGGACUCUAACUGAUAACAUGGUAGUCGGCGUUUCCAAAGGAUUCGAGAAGAAACUUCAAUUGGUAGGGGUUGGAUAUCGUGCAACCAUCGAAGGGAAAGACAUAGUUCUCAAUCUCGGAUUUUCUCAUCCCGUUAGGAUGGAAGUUCCUGCUGGACUGCAAGUUAAGGUUGAAGAAAACACCAGAAUCACUGUAAGUGGUUACGAUAAGUCAGAGAUCGGUCAAUUUGCAGCUUCAAUUAGAAAAUGGAGACCUCCAGAGCCAUACAAAGGUAAAGGAGUGAAAUAUGCUGAUGAAAUAGUUAGAAGGAAAGAAGGUAAAGCAGGCAAGAAGAAGUAAAUCAUGGUACAUUUUGUCAUUGUUUUAUUGUAUUUUUCUUAGAGCUAUUUUGAAGUUAGGUUCAUUUUGCAAGUGACUUGACAAAUUUUUUAUCUUGUGGAUCCCUUUAAAUAUAAGAGUCACACAAUUUGAA
rnacentral:misc_RNA from 1 species